UACGUAGGGUGCAAGCGUUAAUCGGAAUUACUGGGCGUAAAGCGUGCGCAGGCGGUGAUGUAAGACAGAUGCGAAAUCCCCGGGCUCAACCUGGGAACUGCAUUUGUGACUGCAUUGCUGGAGUGCGGCAGAGGGGGAUGGAAUUCCGCGUGUAGCAGUGAAAUGCGUAGAUAUGCGGAGGAACACCGAUGGCGAAGGCAAUCCCCUGGGCCUGCACUGACGCUCAUGCACGAAAGCGUGGGGAGCAAACAGG
rnacentral:rRNA from 1 species